rnacentral:rRNA from 1 species
UACGGGGGGGGCAAGCGUUGUUCGGAAUUACUGGGCGUAAAGGGUUCGUAGGUGGCCAACUCAGUCAGACGUGAAAUCCCUCAGCUCAACUGGGGAACUGCGUCUGAUACUAGAUGGCUCGAGUGCAGGAGAGGAACGCGGAAUUCCAGGUGUAGCGGUGAAAUGCGUGGAUAUCUGGAGGAACACCGGUGGCGAAGGCGGCGUUCUGGACUGCAACUGACACUGAGGAACGAAAGCCAGGGGAGCAAACGGG